AGCAGUAUGGUGUAAUGAUGCACAUGGGAUUUUCAUACAAUUUUGGCACAUUUAAUCUCGAGGUCCUUGUUCGAGUCAAGGUACUGCCU